rnacentral:rRNA from 1 species
UACGUAGGGCGCAAGCGUUGUCCGGAAUUAUUGGGCGUAAAGAGCUCGUAGGCGGCCAGUUGCGUCUGCUGUGAAAUCCCGGGGCUCAACCCCGGGCGUGCAGUGGAUACGGGCUGGCUAGAGGCAGGCAGGGGAGAACGGAACUCCCGGUGUAGCGGUGAAAUGCGCAGAUAUCGGGAGGAACACCGGUGGCGAAGGCGGUUCUCUGGGCCUGUACUGACGCUGAGGCGCGAAAGCGUGGGGAGCAAACAGG